rnacentral:tRNA from 1 species
AUUUACAUAGUUUAAAAAAAACCUUGUAGUUUCAUUACAAAAAUGAAGAAUAUUCUGUAAGUU